CCUACGGGGGGCAGCAGUGAGGAAUAUUGGUCAAUGGACGCAAGACUGAACCAGCCAUGCCGCGUGCAGGAAGAAGGUUCGAUGAGUCGUAAACCUCUUUUGUACGAGGGCAAACGCAGAGACGCGUAUCUGGCUGAGAGUACCGUAAGAAUAAGCAUCGGCUAACUCCGUGCCAGCAGCCGCGGUAAUACGGAGGAUUCCAGCGUUAUCCGGAUUUAUUGGGUUUAAAGGGUGCGUAGGCGGUCGGAUAAGUUAGCGGUGAAAUCCCGGGGCUCAACCUCGGAAUUGCCGUUGAUACUGUUCGGCUAGAGAGUGGGUGAGGUAGGCGGAAUGCAUGGUGUAGCGGUGAAAUGCUUAGAGAUCGUGCAGAACACCGAUUGCGAAGGCAGCAUGCC
rnacentral:rRNA from 1 species